UCAACGGUUUAUCCUUCACCCAUUUUUCUGCACGUCAUCCUGAGGCACAGAUUCCCGGGGCUCCCACAAACAAGAGGAAGUUACUCCACGUUCCUGGGUAGCUGAUCAUCUUAGCAAACUAGAGAACUAUGGACAACCUUUUCUUUCCAAAACACUAUUAGUGAAAACCACUCUAACGUGCUGAAGGCUUUGUCAAAGAACCUAAUCAAAAGCUCUGCUGCCAAAUGUUUGUGACCAGACAAGCGAUUUUACUACACCACCCUCGAGUCAAUCAUCUAGAAAGUAAAAUCUAGAUCCGAA
ensembl:lncRNA novel transcript, antisense to CALM1